rnacentral:rRNA from 1 species
AUUGAACGCUGGCGGCAGGCCUAACACAUGCAAGUCGAGCGGCAGCGGGAAAGUAGCUUGCUACUUUUGCCGGCGAGCGGCGGACGGGUGAGUAAUGCCUGGGGAUCUGCCCAGUCGAGGGGGAUAACUACUGGAAACGGUAGCUAAUACCGCAUACGCCCUACGGGGGAAAGCAGGGGACCUUCGGGCCUUGCGCGAUUGGAUGAACCCAGGUGGGAUUAGCUAGUUGGUGAGGUAAUGGCUCACCAAGGCGACGAUCCCUAGCUGGUCUGAGAGGAUGAUCAGCACACUGGAACUGAGACACGGUCCAGACUCCUACGGGAGGCAGCAGUGGGGAAUAUUGCACAAUGGGGGUAACCCUGAUGCAGCCAUGCCGCGUGUGUGAAGAAGGCCUUCGGGUUGUAAAGCACUUUCAGCGAGGAGGAAAGGUUGGUAGCUAAUAACUGCCAGCUGUGACGUUACUCGCAGAAGAAGCACCGGCUAACUCCGUGCCAGCCGCCGCCGUAAAAC